AGGUGGCAGCAGGCCUUCUCCUAUCGGCUGCUCGCCGUGGCUUCGGGGUUUUUGAUGUUGUCGGUAAUCGUUAAUUAAAAAUGAGCUCCGACUUCUCUGCCGAGGCUCCCUCGAGGUCUCCAGAGGAACAGUCUGGGAUGCUCACUGAACAUCCAUCUGCUCAGCAGCAGUGCUCGCAAGUGUUUCACCGGGACAGAAGAGACUCUGGAAGCUGAAGGGCUGCAACUGCAAGCCUGCGCGUUUGGACUGCUGAGCCAGCAGAGAAGUGGGCGAGGAGAAGCGAGACGGACCCUUGGAUGCCAACAUGCAGAAUAAUCUCAUACCAUUCAUCAGAAAAGGCGCUAAGGCAGCAAUGUGGAUGUCCAGCCCAGUGGAAAUGGUUUCGCAUGAUCUCUGAACUGGACGAAACAUUGGCAAGGGGUGCUGGCAACUGAUGGCAAAGGGUUGGUCACGUAUCCCACCGCCAGGUGUGUGCUGAGCAUCCUGCACGACCUCGUGGUUGUCACAGCAGCACAGGGACUGCACUGACUGAGGACCCACAGACCAACGUGAGACCCCUUCUCACACCUGCUGUAAAUGGAUGCCACGUGAAGAGUGCUGAGCGUAAGAUUCCUUGGGUUUCUCACAGGAUGCAAAGAGCCACCUCCAUGUUUACAGCACUGGAAUUGUAAGAUUUUCACCCUUCGGUCAUUUUUUUCCUUGAUUUUAUCGCAAGUUUUCUAUUACGGAGUACUCUUCCUAAGGAUACUUUACAUAAAAGACAAAAUAAAUGUAAUUGCAUCCAGAAAAUGCUCACGUGUGGUCAGAUGCUGUUAAGAUCACACUAAUUCUUGUGGAAAUUUUGUUCACUAUUUGUUUCUGAUGAGCACAGGGAUUGACAGCAUCCCUUAAAGACAUGAAAACAAAUAACUCCCUUUCAAGCACAGUCAGUAUUCCUUGCGCUGUGCUGGCACAGUGCAUCCCCUGGAUGAGUAUGCAGUGCUGGAUGGCUGCCUCUUCACCUGCAGGGCUUAUGGAGCCCUCACCUUGCUCAGAUUACCUGAGGGUAAUUUCUGGACUGGUUUGUGGCUUUGGGAUGAGGAAUUCAGCUCUCAUCACCGCACGUAGCCUGUGGGAAUGAGCAGGCAUAUGGAAUUAGGCUGCUGGGAGCAGAAGGCACCAAGUGAGCUUUCAAAUGCUCCAUCAGCAGUCAAACAGCAUUUUUCACCUCUACAUCCCUUACUUCCCAAAUCGUGGUUUAUAUUCAUGCACAUUAUCCGUGUAUCUGUAGUAACAAAAUGACUACACAUUUUGUUUCCUCACCUACCUUGGGAAUUACCUCCUGAAUGGACUAAGUACUCCGAUAACAAGAAAAAAAUACUGCUGUCGAUAUGUAAAGGAAGUGUAUAAAUACUUCUGAGUUAACCAUGGUUGAAAUAGCCUUAAUCCAAAUCAGAUGUGUUUUUUUUUGUUUGUUUGUUUGUUUGCAUUGCAAAAGUCAAAAUGAGGAAGGAGUAACUGGGAGCAAAGAAGUCUCUGUAUGUCCUCUGAUGCCAGCUGUGGUGCUGCGAGCUUUAGAUCUGUGUUUUUUCCCCUCAUCUUUAAUUAAGCUUAAUGAUAAUGUGUGAUUUCUCAAGUGUAUUUUAAUGGUGUAGGUUGCUCCAGGUGAAUAAAAAAUAUUGCACAGCUGUUACAGGGCUCUGCCUUCCCUGGGCAUGGGAGCAGCGCUGCACUGUAAGCGUUACUCUGUUAUCUGCAGCUAACUGUUAGAAAUGCUCUUCCAAGCAACAAGAUGCCUUCUUCCCAACUUAUCGGUGACGCUGCGUGUCAAUGGGUUAUUCAAAAGAAGUGCCACUUACAGUUCUGCUGAACUAAAGUGCAGAUGACAGGAAAAAUCAGUGCUUUCCAAACUGAAACAAAAUACCUUCGGUUCCUGCUUGCUGUGCAUCGUGAAUCUGUUUGCACCCCACCAGAAGCCAAGCGAGCAGAAUUUGAUUCAAUACAACUAACAGGAUGUGUUAUUUUCAGGUUCAUGAACAAGAACUGUUGGUUCAUUCUUCUUCCUUUCUCCUUUUCUCUUCAACUGCUGAUUCAUUUUCAGCUAUAAAUCAUCCUGGCUGGAAAUUCUGUGUAAGCCAUUAGAAAUGAAGACACAAAGUGACCAGCUGAAAAGCCAAGGAGCUGCAGUUUGACAUGCUUUCAAUACUGUAAAUGCUAAUACAACCUGAACAACUUCAGUGCAACAACUACUGCUCUGCUAAUUAAGCAACUUUUUAAUGGGACACUUUGAAGCCAGUAGGUAUAUAUUUAUUUCACAAUCGAAACAUCUCUGAAGUCCAGGUGGCAUUAAAUUUUGCAUGAGCUUCUGGUAAAUUACAGAACUUAUUUUCCUUUAAAAGCUGUAGAAAGAAAAUUUCAGGGGGGGGAAAAAAAAGGUGCAUGCGUGUUUCUCUAAUAAGAGAGUUCUGAUUCAGGACAGAUAAUCUCCAGGACAGAUAAUCUCUUUUUACGUAAUCAUGAGAGCGGGCAGAAAAAAAAUGCCCCCGAUGUAAAGCAUGUACAUUAAUCAAACUGUGUGCAACCUGAGCUGCUGAGGAAGCAACAGAGAGUUGCAGCGGGCAAAAAAGCAUUGUAAUUCAUAUUGAUCAAAAGGAACCAUCGUAUGUCUGUUUGGCUAAGUCGCACAGGUCACUUUCUGAGGGCAAAAUGAAGUAAUGAUACUGUAACUAACAUAUUUAAUUUGUUUUUCGUUUCUCCCCCUCAGCCUUUCAAACCAUUCAUUAAGUCUCUGGAGGCUACAUAUAUAGCUGUAUUCCUUGCUCUGUUGAACGCUCCUAAUUUUGAUUCAUUCUGUUGGCAUUUUAAGCUGAAGGCAAAAAUACAUACAUAUACAUAAAAGGGUUAUUGCAAAGUCUUCGUUGUCUUCUUGGGAAUGUGCCUGCCUGCCCAAACCUUGGGAGCAACUUCCUUUUUUGUUAUUAUUCACAUUCCUUCCCUAUUCUAUCUCUCAGUUCACGCCUCCAAUUAAAAGGAUAAUCCAGUUCUGAUCUUCACAUUUUUAUUUCACAUCCUAAGAGGCACUUGAAACAAGCACAUGAUAAUCACAUUACAUAAAUCUUACUUGUAUGCAUUGUACAUGUUUCUGUCAACGUGCUAGUGAUACUCAGUGUGGUUCUAGAACGUUUGCAUACAAAUUAUAUUGCCAGUCACUCCUCACCCUAUUACAUAAACAAUUCACAGAACCAUAGAAUCACAGGAUGGCUGAGGCUGGCAGGGAUACCUGCAUCCCUCUGGCCCAAUUGCUCUCCAGCAGGGCCACCCAGAGCGGGGUGCUCAGACCCACGGCCAGGCAGCUGCUGGACAUCUCCAGGGAGGAGACUGCACAGCUUCUGGGCAGCUUGUGCCAGUGCUCCUACAACAACACAGCGUUUCCUGGAGUUCAGAUGGAACCUCUGUGCUUCAGUUUGUGGCUACUGCUUGUUCUCACAGUGGACAUCUCUGAAAAGAGCCUGGCUCCAUGCUCUUGCCAACGUUCUCUCAUGUUUUCAUAUACACUGAUGAAAUCCUACUGAGCCUCCUCGUCUCCAGUCUGAGCAGUCCCAGCCCUCUCAGCCUCUCCUCACAGGGAAGGUCCUCCAGUCCCAAAUCAUCUUGGUGGACCUCCAUUGGACUCCCUCCAGUACGUCCGUGUUUCUCUUGCACUGUGCACCCAGUAGUGGAUGCAGUGUUCCAGGUGUAUUCUCGCCAGUACUGAAUAGAGGGGAAGGACCACUUUCCUCCACUUGCUGAUGAUACCUUUCCUAAUGCAGCCCAGGACAUCCUCACGCUUCUUUGCAGCAAGGGCACUCUGCUGACUCCUGGCCAAUGUGGUGUCCAGGAGGACCCCAGGUCCCUUCCUGCAGAGCUGCUUUCCCAAUAGGUGGCCCCAGCAUGGCCUGGUGCCUGGGCUUGUUCCUCCUCAAGUACAGAUCUCUGCACUUGUCCUCCUGGAACUAACUCAACUGUGAACAUUGUUUCCUAGUGCUGAAAAACUGAAGCAUGCAAAAAGAAAGCAUAAAAUGAAGACCCUGCCUGUAACACAAUUCAAGUGAGGCUAAAGGGGUGUCAGAACCAAGUUAGAUCAAUUGCUCUCAUCUUGGAAGCAACGUGACUGUUCUACUAUGAGCUGGCCCACACUGAGACCUUCUCCACACAGUACCAGUAGCCACUUUGGAGACAGCAGACGGGUAAAAAAAACCUGCCUUUGCAGGGUCUGGAAGGAUUAUUGGUGAUAGAUUCUUUAGCUCCCACAUCUUUGUGAUACCACAAAGUGUAGGAAGACAACAAUAAACAACCCUGGUCUGUCUGUGCCCACAUUGCAAGAGCUCGCCUCAUCCCAACACCAUCCUUCCAAUGGUGCAAUACUGAAUUUUCUGUGCUUAUCUGGUCAGACAUACUUCUUCUCCAAGCCAUUUUAGGAGUGUAUUCUGAAAUACCCAAAGCAUUUAUCCCAUACUACCUCAGCUUUCCAAGGAAUGAAGAACAGAUUUUGUUCCUGGCUCACUUAAUUGCAUCCGGACACUUCAUAGAAAGUGUAAAAUGAAGCAUCUGUGUCCCCAGCCAACCUCACUGGACCACCUGGCCAGUGCAACUGUUCAGUGAAUAAGAUAGCCUGUGCAGUUCUGCUGAGCUCCUGUUACCAUGAGUCCAUUAAAAAAAUAAUAAUAAUAACGUGAAGAAACUAUAUAAAAGAGAAAGUUUUGCAUCUGGAA